rnacentral:pre_miRNA from 1 species
AGCUUGCUGUAUUCGUGCUGAGAUUUCGUCACACACCAGACCACAAGGGCUGAUGAGAUUUCACUCCCUAUCACUAGUU